AUUGAACGCUGGCGGCAGGCUUAACACAUGCAAGUCGAACGAGUGGCGGACGGGUGAGUAAUUCUUGGGAAUCUCGCUUAUGGAGGGGGAUAACUACGGGAAACUGUAGCUAAUACCGCGUACCAUAGGAUGAGCCCACGUGGGAUUAGGUAGUGGGUGAGGUAACGGCUAACCAAGCCGACGAUCGCUAGCUGGUCUGAGAGGAUGACCAGCCACACUGGGACUGAGACACGGCCCAGACUCCUACGGGAGGCAGCAGUGGGGAAUAUUGCGCAAUGGGGGAAACUUGACGCAGCCAUGCCGCGGGAAUGAAGAAGGCCUUCGGGUUGUAAAGUUCUUUCGGUAGCGAGGCGUUAACUACAGAAGAAGCACCGGCUAACUCCGUGCCAGCCGCGGCGGUAAUUC
rnacentral:rRNA from 1 species